rnacentral:misc_RNA from 1 species
GUUUGUGUAAUGCAUACAUUUGAAGCUUUGCAAACUCCAGUUUUAGUUUGUAGAAUAAAACAAAUUCAGGCUGUGGUGAUUGAGAAACCAAGAAUAUUGUGGGAUUCUGUAUUGAAUCAGGGGCAACAAUUUUUGGCUUCACUUGGAACUAGUUGCUUCUUGGUAUAUAAAAAUUAUUAGCUUGCAGAUCAGAUCCUAGUCGAUAUAUACUUUUGCAUAUGCAUUUAUGUACAACAUCUUCG